GCCUGGGUGGCUCAGCUGGUUAAGCGUCUGACUUCAGCUCAGGUCAUGAUCUUAUGGUCCGUGAGUUCGAGCCCCGCGUCGGGCU
rfam:Felis catus isolate Cinnamon breed Abyssinian chromosome D2, whole genome shotgun sequence.